GUUCAAUUUUCGUAUCGUUUAUAUGCCUUACGGAAAACCGACCUUUUCCGGAAUCGACUUUUGUUUUAUCACCGGAAAUGAUUUUGAAAUUUGAAUUUUGAAACGAAGACAGGAUAUCAACAAAGAGAGCCAAGAAAAUUCUUUCUUCUUCUUCCUGGUACGGGAAAGACUCCGGUGCCGGAGUGUGGAAUAUUGUUUGUUUCGCGAUAUACAUUCACUUGGAGCUAAAAGAAAAGCCACAAAGGACAAGUUCAAUAUGCAGGUUUACAAUUUGGAAGUGGCGCAGGUUCUUUGGAAUGUCUACAACCUUUCAGGAGAAUUUUUUUUUGAAAAGCAUGGCACAGCAAGAAAAAGAUCUAAGACACUACAAGACAUUCCAAGUGAUUUUGA